rnacentral:lncRNA from 1 species
UAUGGUAGCCUUUUACAAUCUAUGCAAAUGGUAUACACUAAUAUAAGAAUUCUAAAAGCUCACUGUACAUGCAAUUUUGAACCAGUUUAGCAAGUUAUCUAGCUGAGAGAUAUAUAAAUUGCUCUUAAUAAUCUAUGUUUUACCACAGAAUUAUGGUUUAUACAAAAAAAAGCCCUUUUCCAAUUUAAAGAAAAAAGGGGGGACAAUUUUCUCAUUCAUGUCUUAAGUUUGGACUAAUAUAUUUUUAUUUGAUGAAGAACC